rnacentral:tRNA from 1 species
GCGGGCGUGGCGGAAUUGGUAGACGCACUGGUUUUAGGUACCAGCGCUUCACGGCAUGGGGGUUCGAGUCCCUCCGCCCGCACCA